rnacentral:tRNA from 1 species
UGCUCCUUAGUUCAGUGGUCAAGAAUAGUGGUGUUACAUACCAAAGGUCAUAGGUUCAAAUCCUAUAGGAGCAA